UACGUAGGUGACAAGCGUUAUCCGGAAUUACUGGGCGUAAAGCGCACGCAGGCGGCGCGGUAAGUCUGAUGUGAAAUCUCCCGGCUUAACUGGGAGGGGUCAUUGGAAACUGCCGAGCUUGAGGCGAUGAGAGGGGUGUAGAAUUCCCGGUGUAGUGGUGGAAUGCGUAGAUAUCGGGAGGAACACCAGUGGCGAAGGCGGUUACCUGGAGCUUUGCUGACGCUGAUGCGCGAAAGCGUGGGGAGCGAUCCGG
rnacentral:rRNA from 1 species